rnacentral:rRNA from 1 species
GAUGAACGCUGGCGGCGUGCCUUAUACAUGCAAGUCGAGCGAACAGACGAGGAGCUUGCUCCUCUGACGUUAGCGGCGGACGGGUGAGUAACACGUGGAUAACCUACCUAUAAGACUGGGAUAACUUCGGGAAACCGGAGCUAAUACCGGAUAAUAUAUUGAACCGCAUGGUUCAAUAGUGAAAGACGGUUUUGCUGUCACUUAUAGAUGGAUCCGCGCCGCAUUAGCUAGUUGGUAAGGUAACGGCUUACCAAGGCAACGAUGCGUAGCCGACCUGAGAGGGUGAUCGGCCACACUGGAACUGAGACACGGUCCAGACUCCUACGGGAGGCAGCAGUAGGGAAUCUUCCGCAAUGGGCGAAAGCCUGACGGAGCAACGCCGCGUGAGUGAUGAAGGUCUUCGGAUCGUAAAACUCUGUUAUUAGGGAAGAACAAAUGUGUAAGUAACUAUGCACGUCUUGACGGUACCUAAUCAGAAAGCAACGGCUAACUACGUG